CUGAGUAGCGUGGAGAGUUAAGCCAAGCCUGUGGGGCAGGAGCCCUAAGGAAGCUAGUCCAAGCCUUGAAGGAAUCACGUCCUGGGAGGGUUGUAUUCUUCCAGAAACAGAAAGGACAACUGGUGCUGUAUCAUUCAACCCAUUGCGACACCACACAGGCAUGCAACUGCUUCUUCUGAUGUCAAGGAGUGCCACAUGCAAAAGGACUAAGAUGAGCAGCAUAAAUAAGUUUGGCCACUGGGAAUACAGUACAGGGGUGGGACAACAAUCCCAUAUUUGAAGACCUACUUCUAGCACCAG